GUGCAGGGUGCUGCUCUCCCCGGAACUACACUAAACCAGGUUUUGGACUUGUGGCUGCAAGUCUAUUUACACUUGGGAGUGAGAUAGUCCAGGGAAUAAAACUGAUCUGCACGGUUGUUGUUUUUUACACAACAGGAGGGUAGGAGGGUUUAUUGGUUUCUGAUUUUUUUCUUGUUUUUAUUAUGUAUUUUGUAUUCCUAUCUCUACUUUCCAGUGAACGCGGUAAGCAUACAUGGGUUGUAAAAGCCAAGGAGUUUCCAGUCACUGUGUACAACUUCCAGCCUGUAGACAGACACUGCGUCUGUAAAAACCCAGGGGACUGAGAACAUCAGUAUCAUGCACCUGCAGGAGAGCUCACCUGCCUGGCUCAAGCAGCAGACAGGUGCAACCCACAAGGUUAAUGUUCCUGAUUCUCUUGUGCAAUUCCAGUCACUAAAAGGAGGUUACAGGCCAUGAACUGUACACUCAGUACAUUAUUUAUCUGUCCAGUAUAUACACCAA